AAAUAAUGAAGUUUUUUGAUUUGGCUGGUUAUGAAGAUCAAUUAAAAAGUCAAAGAUUAUUGGCGGUGUUUUAUUAAAUUCUGAGAAUCUUGCUAAAUUAAAAUGAUAUUACACAGUUUAUCUUAUCUUAAUUUUAAUUGGUUUAUGUAUUGCUGUUUAAUUUAUUAUUUAUUAUAAAUUUUGAAUAAAUUUGAUUUGUUUUUAGGCAGAAAAUUCAAGUCAAAAUGUAGUAAUAUUGAGGUUUUAGUGAGUUGCUUUUUUCUAGAGAGGGAGUGUUUAGAAAAUAUUAAAUUAUUUUUGAAGUGAGGAUUAGGUAGUAAAAAGGAAGUAGUUAGUUCUUUUGAUAAAAUUAUUAUUCAAGU
rnacentral:rRNA from 1 species